rnacentral:rRNA from 1 species
AACGCAUAUUGCACUCUCUGGCUCUCCAGAGAGUAUGCCUGUUUGAGUAUCAGUUUAAAUCUCUCACCCCCAACUGGGGAUGAGGAAUUGAGCAAUCCGCUGGCGCUGAAUUGUUUACGCGGUUUAGUGAUUGAUGCGGUUGCUUGAAAUGCAUAGCUAAGCGAUAUUGACCACUGCUUAAGAUGACUAAGGCGUAUUAGUUUCCCAUUUGGGAAUCCACUCGUGCGCCGGUGUAUUGGUCUCUCUAGCCUUUGUGUUGGUUGAUCGCUAUGCUUUUCUAAAUGUUCUUCUGAGCAUUUACUUAGUUUGGCAUGCGGUUUGCAUAUCGAACUUGAUCUUGAUCUCAAAUCAGGCAAGACUACCCGCUGAAUUUAA